UUGAACGCUGGCGGCAGGCCUAACACAUGCAAGUCGAACGGUAACAGGAAGCAGCUUGCUGCUUCGCUGACGAGUGGCGGACGGGUGAGUAAUGUCUGGGAAACUGCCUGAUGGAGGGGGAUAACUACUGGAAACGGUAGCUAAUACCGCAUAACGUCGCAAGACCAAAGAGGGGGACCUUCGGGCCUCUUGCCAUCGGAUGUGCCCAGAUGGGAUUAGCUAGUAGGUGGGGUAACGGCUCACCUAGGCGACGAUCCCUAGCUGGUCUGAGAGGAUGACCAGCCACACUGGAACUGAGACACGGUCCAGACUCCUACGGGAGGCAGCAGUGGGGAAUAUUGCACAAUGGGCGCAAGCCUGAUGCAGCCAUGCCGCGUGUAUGAAGAAGGCCUUCGGGUUGUAAAGUACUUUCAGCGGGGAGGAAGGUGUUGAGGUUAAUAACCUCAGCAAUUGACGUUACCCGCAGAAGAAGCACCGGCUAACUCCGUGCCAGCAGCCGCGGUAAUACGGAGGGUGCAAGCGUUAAUCGGAAUUACUGGGCGUAAAGCGCACGCAGGCGGUCUGUCAAGUCGGAUGUGAAAUCCCCGGGCUCAACCUGGGAACUGCAUUCGAAACUGGCAGGCUAGAGUCUUGUAGAGGGGGGUAGAAUUCCAGGUGUAGCGGUGAAUGCGUAGAGAUCUGGAGGAAUACCGGUGGCGAAAGGCGGCCCCCUGGACAAAGACUGACGCUCAGGUGCGAAAGCGUGGGGGAGCAAACAGGAUUAGAUACCCUGGUAGUCCACGCCGUAAACGAUGUCGACUUGGAGGUUGUGCCCUUGAGGCGUGGCUUCCGGAGCUAACGCGUUAAGUCGACCGCCUGGGGAGUACGGCCGCAAGGUUAAAACUCAAAUGAAUUGACGGGGGCCCGCACAAGCGGUGGAGCAUGUGGUUUAAUUCGAUGCAACGCGAAGAACCUUACCUACUCUUGACAUCCAGAGAACUUUCCAGAGAUGGAUUGGUGCCUUCGGGAACUCUGAGACAGGUGCUGCAUGGCUGUCGUCAGCUCGUGUUGUGAAAUGUUGGGUUAAGUCCCGCAACGAGCGCAACCCUUAUCCUUUGUUGCCAGCGGUUCGGCCGGGAACUCAAAGGAGACUGCCAGUGAUAAACUGGAGGAAGGUGGGGAUGACGUCAAGUCAUCAUGGCCCUUACGAGUAGGGCUACACACGUGCUACAAUGGCGCAUACAAAGAGAAGCGACCUCGCGAGAGCAAGCGGACCUCAUAAAGUGCGUCGUAGUCCGGAUUGGAGUCUGCAACUCGACUCCAUGAAGUCGGAAUCGCUAGUAAUCGUGGAUCAGAAUGCCACGGUGAAUACGUUCCCGGGCCUUGUACUCACCGC
rnacentral:rRNA from 1 species